rnacentral:lncRNA from 10 species
AAAAGCUUCCUGCCCCAAGACCUUCACUCUUGCCUUUCCUCUAAUUGGAAUUUCCUUUCCCCACAGUCCCCAUGGCUGUUUCUUUCCCAAUUUUCACGUUUCAGCUCAAAGGUCAUAUCCUCAAAGGCAGACCUGGGGAUUAGGAAGAGGCUUACGGAGGUGCACAGUCAUCCAGAAAGCUGAGGGGUUCAGGGACGGGAGAUGUUGGUCCAAAGACACAAAAUUUCAGUCAUGAAGGAGGAAUACGUUCCGGGGAUUAUACCACAUGAAGAGGAAGUGUGGAUGCAGACACACACCGAGGAAAGCCCACGUGAGGACACCGGGAGGGCGGCCGUCUGAUCGCCAAAGAGAAAGGCCUCCGAGGAAACCAGCCCUGCUGACACCUGAUCGCAAGCUUCCAGCCUCCAGAAUUGUGAAAAAACACAUUUCUGUUGUUUCAGCCACUCGGUACGUGGAACUUUGUUAUGGCAGCCCUAGCAGACUAAGUAGGACAUAACAUGCAUAUUUAUAUGUAUAUUUGUCUGUGGGGAUACAUGUUUAUAUGUUUUGGGGGGGAAAUACUGCAUAUUUAUAUGUAUAUUUGUCUGUGGGGGAUACAUGCAUAUAUGUUUUGGGGGGAAUACUGCAUAUUUCUAUGUAUAUUUGUGUGUGGGGGGAUACAUGCAUAUUUAUAAGUAUAUUUGUGGGGGGGGAUAAGCAUAUAUGUGUAUGGGGUGAAAUACAUGCAUAUUUAUAUGUAUAUAUGUGUGGGGGGAUAUUGAUAAUAGGUGUAUACACGCAUAUGUGUGUAUAUAUAUCAUAUAUAUAUCACAUAUGUCAUAUAUAUAAUUUUUGUCUUUAAAGAUGGGGGUCUCCAACCCCCAGGCCAUGGACCCAUACUGGCUUAUGGCCUGUUUAGGAACUGGGCCACACAGCAGGACGUGAGGGUGGGUGGGUGAGCGAGUGAGUGAGUGAAGCUUCAUCUGUCUUUACAGCCUCUCCCCAUUGCUCACAUUACCACCUCCUGUCAAAUCAGCAGCCGCAUUAGGUUCUCAUAGGAGCACGAACCCUGUUGUGAACUGCGUGUGUGAGGGAUCCAGGUUGCAUGCUCCUUAUGAGAAUCUAAUGCCUAGAGAUCUGUCGCUGUCUCCCAUCACUCCCAGCUGGGAGCAUGCAGGAAAAUGAGCUCAGGGCUCCCCACCAAUUCUAUGUUCUG